CACCCGCUGUACUGUUUCAAGCUGAUGUGAUAAACUCUUGCUCUAAUGGAAAACCACUUAGGAAGCAGAAAGAGGAGAGACUGCAGAGCUGGGGGCAGGAAUACCAGCUUGUGACCCAACACUGACCUGCUGGAGUGGGGCAAGAAUUUCUGUGGGAAGCUGGGAAAAAGAACUUGAUCCUACAGUUCAACAGAUUCAGCCAAUACUUGCCAUGCCUUGAGAUGGCAUUUCCACUGGAAUGCUGAAGGCACCUCAAGCUGCUCCUGGUGAAGUGUUUGUGAGUCAGCCAAGGGAACCCAGCACAUUUCCCAGGGGAAAAGGCUCAGGAGAAAGACAGGCCAACCACUAAUGAGGCAUUCCCAGGAAACACAGAAGGGAGGGAGAUCAAAGCGGAGCAGCUGGAAACCAAGGGCCAGGCCUACACACCGGGGCUAUUAUGUCAUGAGAAAUAUCAGAGAUAACAAGUCCUGCAAAGCCAUAAUUUGUGUGCAGGCUGACAUGUUUCUGCAGCAUGGGCAGGGACAAAAAGUU